CCAAGACUACACAGAGAAGCCCUGUCAAAAAGCAAAAACAAAAACAAACAAAAAAGAACAAAAAAGAACAAACACCAAAAUCUAGAUGGAAAAGCAUAUGUUUUUUUGUGGGGAGGAUCAUAUGUACAGAAUGACAUUUAUGCCUUUUCUAGACAAAUAGUCCAUUCCUUUGAAAUACUUUCCUGGACAGAAAGUAUCCUAAUUUCAUGCUCUAACCAAGGGCUUGUUUCUGCCUUCUAAUUGAACCAGCAUUAAACUCACGCUUUUCCAUAUUCUAUGCCUAUCACACAGACUACAACAUAACAUUCAGCAAAGUAGGCACAAUCUAGUCCAGCCUUCUAUUUAUCCAGAAAGUCUAAGGAUUUGGGGCAGAGCUGUUGAUUUUUUUCCAGGUUUAGAGUGAGGAAUACAAUGUACAAAGCAGUAGAGAUUGUUACAAAGAAUAAUAUAACUGCAGCAUUCCUACAACUCAUAAAAGUUGGUGCCAAUUCCUAUGUGUGAGCUGAGGAUUGAGGAACAGAGAAACUGAUCACUGUCACUCUCUUUAGGAGAAUGAAGUUUAAGGAAUCUGAAGAACACUGGACAAAUGGGAAAACUGAAGAAAAGGGACAAAUCAUCUAUCCCAGGAAACAGAGUGAAAUGGCAUAUGGGUAUAUCAUCUAAAAAAUUUUAUGUCUUCCUAAA